rnacentral:rRNA from 1 species
GACGAACGCUGGCGGCGCGCCUAACACAUGCAAGUCGAACGGAGCGUUGCGAGAAGAAGCCUUUCGGGGCCGAUUCAUGCAAUUGCUUAGUGGCGAACGGGUGAGUAACACGUGAAUAACCUACCUCUGAGUGGGGGACAACAUCUGGAAACGGAUGCUAAUACCGCAUAAGACCACAGAACCGCAUGGUUCAGUGGCCAAAGGAGCAAUUCGCUCGGAGAUGGAUUCGCGGCCGAUUAGAUAGUUGGUGAGGUAACGGCUCACCAAGUCGACGAUCGGUAGCCGGACUGAGAGGUUGAACGGCCACAUUGGGACUGAGACACGGCCCAGACUCCUACGGGAGGCAGCAGUGGGGAAUAUUGCACAAUGGGCGAAAGCCUGAUGCAGCGACGCCGCGUGGAGGAAGAAGGUUUUCGGAUUGUAAACUCCUGUCUUCGGGGACGAUAAUGACGGUACCCGAGGAGGAAGCCACGGCUAACUACGUGCCAGCAGCCGCCGUAAAAC